rnacentral:rRNA from 1 species
UACGUAGGGCGCAAGCGUUAUCCGGAAUUAUUGGGCGUAAAGGGUCCGUAGGCGGUUUGAAAAGUCAGAUGUGAAAUCCCACAGCUCAACUGUGGAACUGCAUUUGAAACUUUCAGACUAGAGUAUGAGAGGGGUAAAGGGAAUUCCCGGUGUAAGGGUGAAAUCUGCAGAGAUCGGGAGGAACACCAGUCGCGAAGGCGCUUUACUGGCUCAUUACUGACGCUCAGGGACGAAAGCUAGGGGAGCAAACGGG